rnacentral:rRNA from 1 species
AGUGAACGCUGGCGGUAGGCCUAACACAUGCAAGUCGAACGGCAGCACAGUAAGAGCUUGCUCUUACGGGUGGCGAGUGGCGGACGGGUGAGGAAUACAUCGGAAUCUACUUUUUCGUGGGGGAUAACGUGGGAAACUUACGCUAAUACCGCAUACGACCUACGGGUGAAAGCAGGGGAUCUUCGGACCUUGCGCGAAUGAAUGAGCCGAUGUCGGAUUAGCCAGUUUGCGGGGUAAAGGCCCACCAAGGCGACGAUCCGUAACUGGUCUGAGAGGAUGAUCAGCCACACUGGAACUGAGACACGGUCCAGACUCCUACGGGAGGCAGCAGUGGGGAAUAUUGGACAAUGGGCGCAAGCCUGAUCCAGCCAUACCGCGUGGGUGAAGAAGGCCUUCGGGUUGUAAAGCCCUUUUGUUGGGAAAGAAAAGCAGCAGGUUAAUACCCCGCUGUUCUGACGGUACCCAAAGAAUAAGCACCGGCUAACUUCGUG